rnacentral:rRNA from 1 species
AACGAACGCUGGCGGCAUGCCUAACACAUGCAAGUCGAACGAGACCUUCGGGCCUAGUGGCGCACGGGUGCGUAACGCGUGGGAACCUGCCUUUAGGUUCGGAAUAACUCAGAGAAAUUUGAGCUAAUACCGGAUGAUGUCUUCGGACCAAAGAUUUAUCGCCUUGAGAUGGGCCCGCGUUGGAUUAGCUAGUUGGUGGGGUAAAGGCCUACCAAGGCGACGAUCCAUAGCUGGUCUGAGAGGAUGAUCAGCCACACUGGGACUGAGACACGGCCCAGACUCCUACGGGAGGCAGGAGUGGGGAAUAUUGGACAAUGGGCGAAAGCCUGAUCCAGCAAUGCCGCGUGAGUGAUGAAGGCCUUAGGGUUGUAAAGCUCUUUUACCCGAGAUGAUAAUGACAGUAUCGGGAGAAUAAGCUCCGGCUAACUCCGUG